AAACCAGCACCUCAAGUGGUCAGGAUGAUUAUUGGGCCUAAAGCAUCCGUAGCCGGCUCUGUAAGUUUUCGGUUAAAUCUGUACGCUCAACGUACAGGCUGCCGGGAAUACUGCAGAGCUAGGGAGUGUGAGAGGUAGACGGUACUCGGGAGGAAGUGGUAAAAUGCUUUGAUCUCUCGAUGACCACCUGUGGCGAAGGCGGUCUACCAGAACACGUCCGACGGUGAGGGAUGAAAGCUGGGGGAGCAAACCGAAUUAGAAACCCGAGUAGUCC
rnacentral:rRNA from 1 species